rnacentral:rRNA from 1 species
GAUGAACGCUGUCGGCGUGCCUAAUACAUGCAAGUCGAGCGAACAGAUAAGGAGCUUGCUCCUUUGACGUUAGCGGCGGACGGGUGAGUAACACGUGGGUAACCUACCUAUAAGACUGGGAUAACUUCGGGAAACCGGAGCUAAUACCGGAUAACAUUUGGAACCGCAUGGUUCUAAAGUGAAAGAUGGUUUUGCUAUCACUUAUAGAUGGACCCGCGCCGUAUUAGCUAGUUGGUAAGGUAACGGCUUACCAAGGCAACGAUACGUAGCCGACCUGAGAGGGUGAUCGGCCACACUGGAACUGAGACACGGUCCAGACUCCUACGGGAGGCAGCAGUAGGGAAUCUUCCGCAAUGGGCGAAAGCCUGACGGAGCAACGCCGCGUGAGUGAUGAAGGGUUUCGGCUCGUAAAACUCUGUUAUUAGGGAAGAACAAACGUGUAAGUAACUGUGCACGUCUUGACGGUACCUAAUCAGAAAGCCACGGCUAACUACGUG